AGGACGAACGCUGGCGGCGUGCUUAACACAUGCAAGUCGAACGAUGAAGCACUUCGGUGUGGAUUAGUGGCGAACGGGUGAGUAACACGUGAGUAACCUGCCCCUUACUUUGGGAUAACAGUUGGAAACGGCUGCUAAUACCGGAUAUUCUCUGCGCAUCGCAUGGUGUGUGGUGGAAAGUUUUUUCGGUGAGGGAUGGGCUCGCGGCCUAUCAGCUUGUUGGUGGGGUAAUGGCCUACCAAGGCGACGACGGGUAGCCGGCCUGAGAGGGCGACCGGCCACACUGGGACUGAGACACGGCCCAGACUCCUACGGGAGGCAGCAGUGGGGAAUAUUGCACAAUGGGCGAAAGCCUGAUGCAGCGACGCCGCGUGGGGGAUGACGGCCUUCGGGUUGUAAACCUCUUUCAGUAGGGAAGAAGCGAAAGUGACGGUACCUGCAGAAGAAGCGCCGGCUAACUACGUGCCAGCAGCCGCGGUAAUACGUAGGGCGCAAGCGUUGUCCGGAAUUAUUGGGCGUAAAGAGCUUGUAGGCGGUUUGUCGCGUCUGGUGUGAAAACCCAUCGCUUAACGGUGGGCUUGCAUCGGGUACGGGCAGACUAGAGUGCGGUAGGGGAGAUUGGAAUUCCUGGUGUAGCGGUGGAAUGCGCAGAUAUCAGGAGGAACACCGAUGGCGAAGGCAGAUCUCUGGGCCGUAACUGACGCUGAGAAGCGAAAGCAUGGGGAGCGAACAGGAUUAGAUACCCUGGUAGUCCAUGCCG
rnacentral:rRNA from 1 species